ACAAUAUAAGGAUCGACAGAUUGAGAGCUCUUUCUUGAUUCGGUGGAUGGUGGUGCAUGGCCCUUCUUAGUUGGUGGAGUGAUUUGUCUGGUUAAUUCCGAUAACGAACGAGACUAUAGCCUAUUAAAUAGGCGCAGUGUCCCCAGCACGUUACAACCUUCUUAGAGGAACAAGUGACUCCUAGCCGCACGAAAAAGAGCAAACAGGUCUGUGACGCCCUAGGAUGUGCGGGGCCACACGCGCGCUACACUGAAGGAAGCAGCGUGUCUUUAUCCCUGUCUGAAAACACUGGAUAAGCCGUGGAACUUCUUUCGGGAUUGGAGUACCGGCUUGCAAUUGUUCGCCUUGAACGAGGAAUUCCAAGUAAGUGCGAGUCAUGAGCUCGCGUUGAUUACGUCCCUGCCCUUUGUACACACCGCCCGUCGCUACUACCGGUCGAAUGAUUUAGUGAGGUCUUCGGAACGAUGUCCGGCGCGGCCUUUCGGUUGCGCCGGUCUGUUGGAAAGAUGACCAAACUUGAUCAUUUAGAGGAAGUAAAAGUAAAACGUAAGGGGGACU
rnacentral:lncRNA from 1 species